CCAGCAAGUGACAAGUAACGUUGCAAACCGUAAUAGAUAAGUGGAACUGCAUUUCACAAAAAAAAAAAAUCAAAUUCAGAGCUCUCACCGAACUUGGUACGAGUGCUCGUGCUGGUUUCGCUGGAGUAAUCAGAGACAAACCCAGUUUUCUAUCAAACCGAAAAACUGAUUUUAUCCCCAAUUUACGAAACCUUAAUUGCAAACUCAAUAAAUAACCACUGGUUUAAAUCAUAAAAAAAACGUUCGAUAGUGUGCUAAUUCCAUCCGAUGAACUCGACAAAACUAUAAUCCUCAACUAAAACAAAAGAUCAACUUACCUUGCUUAAUCGGUCGGCGAAAACAGUCUCUUUCACCGGCGUCGUCGAUUUCGACCAAAUGUUUUCGACGAAAAGACUAAACCUGAAGAAAUUUUUUUCUUCGCCUAAACCCGAUCAGGUCUCGAUGAUUUUGGGUUUACGCAGUGGAAAUCGUCGGUGUCGAAGAAAAAACAAAGUAUUGAGAAAUGAGAGAAGUCGAUAUGGUUGAAGAAGUUUGCUGAAAAAUUUGCCCGACAACGAAUAAGAGGGAGCCACAUGUCUAUGAACCCCUCAAAAAACAGUCUCAAAAGUCCGUCCUGAAGGGGUGGUUCAUCAAAUUUAUGGGCUUCACCUAUUUUUUUUUAAUUAUUAAUGGGUUAUGAACCCCACUUAUGAAUCCCAUUGAACCCUGUAUUGGACCUGCUCUUAAAAUAACGAGCUUUAUGAAGUCUUGAGAAAAGACAAUUUGUUUUUUCAAGUAAUCUCUGAUCGCUAACAAAAGCGGGGUUGUUGUUUUUGUUUUACUAAGCUUCAGGUUUUAAAUUUAUAAUUCCUAAAUGUCUGCAAGUGCACAGAUGUGCGCUGUAGUACUUAGGGUAUCGAUUCACAAAGACUUAAUUGUUUCAGUACGAAUUCACGGCAACGCUUAAAUCAGAUUAGAACUAAAUAAUUUGGGUUUUGGUUUUGGGUUUUGGUUAUCACUAAAUCUGAACUAGAAAGCUAAACAAGUAAAAGCAAACUAAAAUAAAAGCAAACAGAAGCAAGUAGUAAGCGAUUAAACAAGAGGUGAAUGGAAGCAAGGAACAAGCGAAUGAAAAGCAAAUAAAAUCGAAGGUUGUAAGCAAUGAAAGACAAACGUUGGGCAUCAAGGGUAAUUCGCAGGGGCUCAUGGACUAAGCUAUGUCGAUUUUAAACAUAUGAUAAAGGUAAUCAACUACGUAUGUUCUAGAACUCGAGGCAGGGAAGUAUGAAUAGCCUACUUUCGCAGCACUAAACAACUAUCUCUCGCAACCUUGAUCAGUAGGUUUCCACUCUGAUCCUGGAAGGGAGAAGAUGCAAUAACAGGACAAGACUCAUCAACAUUCACAAUUCAAAUACAGGUAGGUUUCCACUCCUAUAAAAUCAUUGCUCGUUUCACCCUAGUUCAUACAAUCAAUGAAAGCUUUCACAACAUAUCAUGUCAGAUCGGCUUCUAAGUGGCUAGCAAAGAAUCACGCAGUAAGAUUAAAGACAAACGAAGAACAUCUAGAAGAUUAAUAAUCCUAAAUCUAUCAAUUCAUAAGCAAAGACACAUGAAAUUUCCUUUGAAAAAUCCCUUUAAACCCAACUGGAUAACUACUCAAACAUAUUGUAAACAAUCAUCACAAAGUAUUGAAAGUUGCAGGAAAUUAAAGAAAAAUGGGAAGAAAAACGAAGAACAGAGUCGCAGAUGGAGGCACGAUGAUGCUCUCCUCGACGGCUCCUCCUUCAAAGGUGCCGGCUCCUAGGGCUUCUCACACGAACUCUCUCUCUUUCUAUCUUAUGUCGUCUACACCACACCUUUAGGAAUGACCUAAAGGGGGUAUUUAUAGCUUCUGGGGUGGUUCUGGACACUUAGGGCUUCAAAAAUAACGAGAGGAAUUGAUCUGGGCUUUAAUUAAGUUGUCUGGAAAGUGAACGACCAAAGUCCGUGGUCGCGUUGGCUAUACCCGCUGGAAAAUGGGUGUUGGCCGCGGUCCCAGCACACGGCUCUCUUCCGGAACUGCAUUUUCUGUCAUUCUUGCAUCGGAAGUAUCUGAAAAUCUAACCGUUGGAUUGUACCCAAACCAAGUGAAUUAGAAAGCUGGUUGGAUCAUCUAUGUUGUCUCAAAUUUUGGGGGUGAUCGGACGGUGAGAAGGUCUUCAUCGCUUGUCAUACUUCUGACGGUUUGCAUUUAUCCAAAAUUGCUCAUUUGUUCCAAAUUGCAUAUCUUUUGCCCAAUUUUCCUGUAAAAUAUUUUGAAACUCUAAAACAUUGAAAACACUUUAAAAACCGUUGAAAACAGAGUUAAAACACCUGCAUAAGACAUAAUUAUGAUCCAUAAAAGUGGUCAAAAUACGGUGUUAUCAACUCCUCUAGACUUACCUUUUUGUUUGUCCUCAAACAAACUUAAGUCAGGAAAGAAAUUUUUGAAAAUCGCAUGAACUAAACAAUAUCUCAGUGACCGACUUUCUAAACCAUAACUUAUCGUGAAACAUCUAUUUGGAUCUAGUCUAGAAAAUUCUCACCGAAAUACAAGUAAACUAGUCCGUUAAUCCGUCAUGCGAAAAUCUACACACUUAGAUCUAACUUUCAGUCAACUAGCUCUCUAAAUUCAUUAAGUAUAUUGUGAGUUCUCAUGAAAGUCAUCAUUCAGGGUAGACGGCGUUUGGUAUUAAGCGCCUUUUAAGUGGUGGAGCUUAAGUAUUUCGGGUUACCUGAAGAUUUGAAGGAUGCAAGAUAUUAUGCAAAACCGCAAGAGAGAGAAGGACCUGUUGAUGACCCGCAGAUUUUCAGUCACUUCUUCUUUGCCAAAAAUUGUUGCAUAAUCUUCCUCCUUUGUUGUAAACAGGUGUUCCCCCAGACUUAGAUCUUUUCUGGGAAUCAUAAAGAUAAUCUCCAAAACUCCAUAAAAUCGAAUCAUGUUUGCCUCAAGUAUAAAAUUCGAUCCUCCUAGACUCUCUAAGGUUUUAAGUUUCCUCUCCCUUGUAUUUUUGUUUUCUCUUUUUAGGAUUAUUACUUUUUUUUUUUGGAAAAGGAAAUAACCUUUCAUAGAGAGAGAGAGUCUAAGGGACGAAAUUGUACCAAAAUUUUGAAGUUUUUCCAAGGCAAAUUGAGUUUUCUCCUUUUGUUGAAUCAUUCCAAUGAAAUCGCAGGCCUCCGUCUUCAGUGACUGAAAACCGUGUUGAUCCUCUUUCUCUCCGACAUAUUUGCACAUAUCUGCAUAUAGAAUAAUGAAAAACAAGAAUGCAUGUGGUUUGAAAUAGGUUAGGUUCGGUGGGGAACUAGCUAAAGGUAAACUAGCCAUUCAGGAUCAACAAAGAGUGGUAAAAGGAUAUAGUAGUCCUGAAUGUAUGAUUCGUUUCCCUGGUCUAAUGCUUUAAUGAGAAAAUUAAGUCAAAAUUAAGUCCAGAUAAAAUGAGUUAGUAUAUCCUGUCAGAAAGAAUCUCCAUGAAUAGAAGUCCUCUGGUGGGAUUUCGUAAUGCAAGUAUUCUAGCUACCGCUUAGUCUAGGCCUAAAUCACAAAAAGAGCAAAAAACGAUGAAAUAGCGUAGAAGCACACUGGUCUAAUUCAUCAUAGUAUUGUUUAUUGUGUCCUGGUUUGAAAACUUUUUUGAAAAACAUUUUGAAAACGAUUUUUGAAAAAAUUUUAUGAAGAAUUUUGAAAAACGUUUUGAAAAAUUUUAUGUGUCCAAAACAAACUCAAAACAAAUCAAAUUUCAUUAGUAACGGAUGAACAUCCUCCUCCAGACUUAUUUCACACUGUCCUCAGUGUGAUAAAUCUUGGAAAGAAUGGUAAAGAAAAUAGAAAAGUUGAAAUGUUUAAGAGUACUUAUCGUGCUGGAGAGUGCUGCUCGUCUUUUGUGUUUGUUCUUCCUUAUUGAAAACCUGAAAUUAAAUGAAACAGAAACAAAGCAAUGGAAAUAGAAAAUAAAAUUCAAAGGGAAAUAAAUAAAAUACCAAGUGGGUUGCUUCCCACUAAGCGCUUGUUUCAAGUCGUUAGCUUGACAUUGUUGCUCGAUUAGACUUAACCGGGGUCGUGACACUCCUUGGUCUCAUCAUUGGCCGAUGACGGAUCAAUCAAAAACAUCACUUCUCUUUCGUCUCCUGUUUCUUCAGCCAGAUAUGGUUUUACACGCUGUCCAUUCACUGUGAAUGAGUUUUCGGUUUUGUCCCACAGGACAAUGGCUCCGUAUGGCUUGACUUUCUUUAUCAUGAACGGUCCUGACCAUCUUGAACGUAAUUUUCCUGAAAAAAGCUUAAGACGAGAAUUAAAAAGAAGAACUUUAUCGUUAAGAGCAAAAGUUCUAUGAAUGAUCUUCUUAUCAUGAUAUGCUUUAGUCUUCUCCUUGUAGAUCUUCGAGUUUUCAUAAGCAUUGUGUCGGAUUUCUUCUAACUCGUGAAGUUGAAGUAGUCUUCUUUCUCCAGCUGUUUUCAAGUUCAUAUUCAUCUCCUUGAUAGCCCAUUGCGCCUUAUACUCAAGUUCUACUGGAAGGUGACAUGUUUUUCCGUAAACUAGAUUGAAUUGUGUUGUUCCUAAUGGCGUCUUGAAUGCUGUUCGAUAUGCCCAUAAUGCGUCGUCAAGCUUGGUAGACCAAUCCUUGCAAUGAACUGAAGUUGUUUUCUGCAAAUUCAACUUGAUUUCUCUGUUUGAUAUUUCUACUUGACCGCUGGUUUGGGGAUGGUAUGGAGAAGCAACUUUAUGUGUAACUCCAUUCUUUCUAAGAAGAUUCUCGAAAACUCUGUUGAUGAAAUGUGAUCCUCCGUCGCUUAUCACAAUUCUAGGAACUCCAAAACACGGGAAUAUAACAGAUUUAAACAGCUUCAUGACGAUUUUCGCAUCAUUGGUGGGACUAGCGAUUGCUUCAACCCACUUAGAGACGUAGUCUACUGCUACUAAGAUGUAUUGGUUUCCAAAAGAAGUAGGAAAUGGUCCCAUAAAAUCUAUUCCCCAGACAUCGAAAAUUUCGACUUCGAGAAUAAAAUUUUGAGGCAUCUCAUUCUUUUUGCUUAUGUUGCCCAUCCUCUGGCAUUUAUCGCAUCGCGAUAUAUAAGCUUGAGUAUCUUUGAAUAAAGUAGGCCACCAAAAACCUGCUUGUAAGAUAUUUGAAGCAGUUUUGAAGGUUGCGAAAUGUCCUGCGUAAGACGAGCUAUGGCAUCCGAAUAAAAUUCCUUCCAUCUCUUCUUCAGCCACGCAUCUUCGGAAUAACCCAUCAGCACAUCUCUUAUAGAGAUAGGGUUCAUCCCAAAAAUAAUGUCUUACGUCUUUCAGAAACUUUUUCUUCCUAUAACCGAAAAAUUGAGGUGGUUCUACAUCAGCUGCUCGGUAAUUCGCUAUGUGCCUAACCCAUGGGGUGUUGAAAGCAUCUGAUCUUCGCAUGAGUGAACGUGCUGGUGCGGUAUUGGCAUUGGUGGGGGUAGUAUCUAUUGCAUAGAUGUUUUCUUCAGGCAAACUGUCAUUUAGAGGCAAUCUUUCUUCAACUCGAAUUCGUGAAAGAUGGUCUGCAACUCCAUUAUCUGCUCCUUUUCGAUCUCGAAUUUCGAUAUCGCGUUCUUGCAGUAGGAGGAUCCAUCUUAUCAACCUCGGUUUAGCGUCUUUCUUAGACAUUAAAUACUUGAUUGCAGCAUCAUCAGUAUGAACUAUAACCUUAGAUCCUACGAGAUAAGAACGGAAUUUCUCAAAUGCAAAUACGACAGCUAGAAGUUCUUUCUCUGUUGUAGCAUAAUUGCAUUAAGCUUCGUCUAGAGUUCUGCUUGCGUAGUAGAUUACGUGCAGUUUCUUAUCUUUUCGUUGGCCAAGCACUGCUCUGACUGCAUAGUCACUUGCAUCGCACAUGAUUUCGAAUGGAAGUUCCCAAUCAGGUGCUUGCACAAUUGGAGCGGAGACAAGAGCUUCUUUGAUCUUAUGAAACGCGGCUAAGCACUCAUCAUCGAACUCGAAGUUCGUUUCCUUGCAAAGCAAACGCGUAAGGGGUCUAGCUAUUUGAGAAAAAUCUUUUAUGAAGCGCCUAUAGAAUCCUGCGUGUCCUAAGAAACUACAAAUUCCUUUUACGUUUGUGGGAGGUUGUAGGCUGGUCAUGACUUCGAUUUUAGCUCUGUCAACUUCAGUUCCUUUUCCCGAAAUUCUAUGCCCAACCACGAUUUCGUCUCGUACCAUGAAGUGACAUUUUUCCCAAUUUAAUACUAAAUGCUUAUCUCACAUCUUUUCAGAACUUUACCAAGGUUGGCUAAGCAUUUUUCAAAAGAAGAUCCAUGGAAAGAGAAAUCGUCCAUGAACACUUCCAUGAAAUCCUCAAUAAAAUCUGUGAAGAUCGACAUCAUGCACCGCUGGAAGGUAGCAGGUGCAUUACACAAUCCAAAAGGCAUAUGUCGGUAAGCGAACGUGCCAUAUGGACAAGUGAAUGUCGUUUUUUCUUGAUCCUCCGGGCGAACAGGAAUUUGGAAGAAUCCGGAGUAUCCAUCAAGGAAGCAAUAGUAGGGGUGAUUAGCUAACCUUUCUUGCAUUUGAUCUAUGAAGGGAAGUGGAAAAUGAUCUUUCCUAGUUGCUGCGUUCCGUUUCCGGUAAUCGAUGCACAUACGAUGUCCAAUUACUGUUCUUGUAGUGAUAAUUUCAUCUUUAUCAUUUUUAACGACAGUGACUCCUCCUUUAUUAGGAACAACAUGAAAUGGGCUAACCCAAGUGCUAUCUGAGAUAGGAAAGAUUAUUCCAGCUUCUAAAAGCUUCAUAAUCUCCUUCUUGACAACAUCCAUGAGAUUAGGGUUCAGUCUCCUUUGACUUUCGAUUGAGUUUUUAGCAUUAUGCUCUAGAGUUGUCUUGUGCAUACAAAGAUCUGGAGAGAUUCCAGGUAUGUCAUCAAGUGAAUAUCCUAAGGCUUUUCUAUGCUUUCUCAGCUCAGUCAACAGCAUUGUAGUUUCUUCUUCCGUCAAACCAGAAUUUAUUUUGACAGGAUAAGUAGAAUUUGGUCCAAGGAAGGCGUACUUAAGUCCGACGGGAAGAGGUUUAAGCUCGACUUUAGGGGCUUUAAGCUCGCUCCAAGGAUCAUUAAUUGCUGAAGCAGUGUCUUUAGGGGGUGUAGGAAUGUUUGUUUGGUCCUUAAGAUCUAGAUAGUUUAGAGGUUUCCUAUAAGUUUCAGAUUUAUCAAGCAUACGUGCACACUCACUUGAAAUUUCUUCAAGAAAAUUGCGUUCAUCUUUUGCGGGUGAAAGCGUGACACUUAAAGGGUUGUCUAGAAGCUGAUCUUCAUAGACUUCCUCAAUAACUCCGUCUAACUCAUCAACCCAACAAAUUUUUCCAUCCAGAGUCGGUUUAUCGAAACUUUUGUUCAUGUCAAACUGCAUAACUAGGUCGGCUAGAUGAAGGUCGAUUUUUCCUUCAUGAACAUUGAUGAUGGCUCCGGCUGUAGAUAGGAAUGGUUGUCCAAGAAUAAGUGGAUCCUUAGGUUCUCUUUCUAGUUCUAGAACUACGAAAUCGGUGGGUGAUGUCGUGUCAACUGCGUGAGGGAACAAGUUUUACCCUUAACAAAACAAAUGAAAGCCGCAAGUGCACAGCUAAUCAGUUGUAGUAUUUAGGGAUCGAAUCCACAGAGAUUUGUGUGCCUGGUAUUCUUCUACGGUUUUUUUUUUGUUUUAUGUCUAGACUAAAUUGGUUUUAAAGGUUGGUUGUUUGUUUUGCGAACUAAACUAAAAACAGAGAAAGCAAAUAAAUCCAUCCUAAAAGCAAGUAAGAAAAUCGAAUGAAAUGCAAUUAGAAUAAGCAAAAUAUCGAAUGAAAGACUAAUAAGGCAAGAGAAAUAUUGCAUGAAAGGUAAAUUAAGCAAGUAAAAUAUCGAACUAAGGGAAUUGAAAUGCAAGUCUAAGAAAACAAUAAAAAUCGAUGGAGUUGUAAACUAUGGCUAAAAACGCUGAGCUUUUGGGAACUCUAAGGGAUCAUAAUCGGUUUCAACACUAAGGUAGAUAGAUUGGGAUUGACGGAUAACGAUAUAUGGGUUCUAGAGCUAGAGUACGGCGGUAUGACUACGUCACUGUCGUGAUCAUAACCAACUGUUUCUCGCAACCCUGACCAGUAGGUUUCCACUCUGGCCCUAGAAGGGAGAGAACGCAAGAGCUGCACAAGACUCGUCAAUACUCACGAUCUCGCCGCAGGUAGGUUUCCACUCCUACAGAAAAAUCGCCUGUUUCAUUCUAGGGCUGAUACUUAAUGAAAACUUUCGCAACACCAACUAUCUAGAUCAGAUACUAGGUGAUCAAUCAAGCAUACAUGCAAUAAGAACAAUAAUAACCAGAGAACAGGUCGAAAUCCCAGAUCUAUAAACCUAGAUGUCUUAAUCGAUUAUGAGAGCCCCUUUCGGGAACCCUAAGCCCAACUCGGGAUCUACUCAGACAUGGCUGAGGUCGACAUCAUCAUCGGUUUAAUAAAAGUAAUGAAAAACACUAAAGAAAAGAGAUAAAGAAAGCUUCUCUAUUGAAGAACUCGGACUUGAACAAUCUUCUACAAAAAUCUCAUAAAAACGGCUGAAAGAAAAGGGUUUCUGUAAAGUAUGAAGGGUGGUGUCUAAAAACGACCUAAAUGACAUGUAUUUAUAGUCUCCAAUACUCCAUGGUCUCUAGGGUUCCGAAAUUGAGGCUGAGAAUGACUUUGGGCUUCAGAUAUGUGGGCUUUAACUCGGAGAUUGAUUGUCGCGGUCGGGAGUGUUGUGACCGCGGCAAAUAGCUUGUUGGCCGCGGUCGGGAAGCUUCUGACCGCGGCAAAUAGCUUGUUGGCCGCGGUCGCGUGAGCUGCUGGCCGACUUCGAGUGGCUCCGGGGCUCAUGAAAUAUCUUGAGAUCCAACCGUUGGAAUGUCUCCAAACCAAGUGUAUUUGAAAGCUGGUUGAUUCUUCUAUAAGUUGUCCAAUUUUGAGGGUGAUCAGACGGUGAGAAGGUCUUCGUCUCUCCAUGAGAGUUCUGAUGGUCUGCAUUUAUCCAAAAGAGUCUUUUUGUUCCAUUUUGUGCCUCUUUAUCCCAAAUUACCUGAAAAGUCUUUUAAAAUCCGGAAACAUAGAAAUCCUUUGAAAACCUUUGAAAAUGGAGUAAAAACACCUGUAAAAGAUAUUAAAAUGAUCCAUAAAAAUGGUCAAAAUCCGAUGUUAUCAGUGGGAAUGGAACAUUUUUCGAUUUGGACAGGAACAUCAAUUAAGAUACCUACGGGUUGUCUAACCGAACGAUCAGCUAAUACUAAGGAAAUUUUAGUGUGCUGGAAAGUGUGGUGUCCUAAAUGUUUUGCUACUGAAAGAGGCAUCAUGUUUAUGCUAGAUCCUAAAUCACAGAGAGCACGCUCAAAAGCUACAUCAUUGAUGGUGCAUGAAAGUACAAAGCUUCCAGGAUCAUUUUUAUUUUCAGGGAUUCGGCUUUGCAGGAUAGAACUACAUUCAUGAGUUAUCAUCAUAACACCUUCUUCAAGAGUUAAAGAAUUUGUUAGAAUACCCUUCAUAUAUUUUCUUAAAGCUGGAAUCAUAGCACAAGCUUCUACGAAAGGUAAUCUCAAAUUUAAUUGAUCAAUCAAAUCUUUCAGCUUAGCUUUUUCUUUCUCUUUCUUAGGGGCUCUUAAGGCUCUAGGAUAUGGAGGUUUAGGUUUAUAGACACGAGUUGGUGGAGGUGGAAUUGGGUCUUCUCCGAGAAUUUCCCGGGACGUAUCUUCUCUUACUUCUUCUCCAUCCUUCUCUCCUACCACUUCUUUUUCAACAUCUUCAAUCGUGAUUCUUUCUCUUUCUUUCUCCUUUUCCUUACCCUUGUCCUUAUCUUCGAGAUCUUUAGGAAAUUCAGGCUCUUUGUAAGCUAAUCCACUCCUAAGUGUGAUAGCUUUCACAUGAUCGGAGGGAUCUGCUUCACUUGAGCUUUCGAAAGAGUUUUCACUUUUCUCCUUAUCGGAAUUAUCUAUGUUUUUAGAAUUAGUUUUGAUCAUUAGACUAAGGAGGGUGGAAAAUUUUUCAUUGAAAUCUUUUUGCAUCGUUUUUAGUUCAGAUUUAAGAUCACUAAUCUCUUGAGACCUAGAUUUUUCAAGCUCUAGAAUAUUUUUGUUUAGAUUUUCAGCUUCAGAAGAGGAAAACUAGGAUAUGGCACAGGAUUAGAUUGAAUAGCCAAGAUUGGUUCGGAAGGUGAUUUCCAGGCUAGCUCGGAAGA
rnacentral:lncRNA from 1 species